UACGUAGGGUGCAAGCGUUAAUCGGAAUUACUGGGCGUAAAGCGUGCGCAGGCGGUUUGUAAGUCUGUCGUGAAAUCCCCGGGCUUAACCUGGGAAUGGCAUUUGGGACUGCAAGGCUUGAGUGCGGCAGAGGAGACUGGAAUUCCUGGUGUAGCAGUGAAAUGCGUAGAUAUCAGGAGGAACACCGAUGGCGAAGGCAGGUCUCUGGGCUGACACUGACGCUCAUGCACGAAAGCGUGGGGAGCAAACAGG
rnacentral:rRNA from 1 species